CUUAACAAUGACAGCGUCAUCGAUCAGAAAAUUAAUAUUACGAUUAAGUUGAAUUGACAGAACAAAAGAAAUUUUCAAUCAUGACAAAAUUACAAGUUCAUAAUACAUAUUAUAAUAAUAUAUAAAAAUGAAAAACAUGUAAAAAUUUAAUAUGCUGGAAAGAAUUAAAACAUAAAUUACAUUUCAAGUAAAUAUGAAGAACUUUGAACUUGGUCUUUGCUGGCUUUUGUUUCUUCUGAUACAGGUUGUAAGCGCUUUUGCCUGUAAGAGAAAAUCGUCUUGCCGUCCCCCGCGCUGUCCCGGCGGUUGCAAGCCCAAGUACUGGUAGAUGAUAAGAACAUCGACUGAGGUUUUUUAUUGACAGAAUCAUGGUAUUUUCACUGCUAUGGCGUUAUGUGUGGUGGGUGGCGUGGUGUGCGGCGUGGAUGGUCGCGGGGGCGAAGGGCUGUAAGAAGAAAACAAUCUGCCGCCCGCCUCCCGGUGGCCGACCUGGGUGUGGCGGAUUCAGAUAAAUGUUCGUGAUUCAAUUACUCCAAUGUCCAGAUCUGAUAAAACGCAAGUGGAAAAUGUAACAAGAAAUAAAACAAAUUGACUUUUUAUGAAUUUUUAUUGAUUUUUUUCUUAUAAAAUAUGCUUCUUACACGAC